rnacentral:lncRNA from 1 species
GAGCCAAGGAGAGGAAAAUCAAGAAGAAGCAGCAGCAGCAACAGCAGCAGCAGCAACAACAGCCUCCACAGCCGCCGCCACAACCUUCCCAGCCUCAGCCGGGUGCCCUGCGGAGCGUGCCCGAGCCCUUGAGUCCUGUGACCUCCUUGCAAGGCUCAGUGCCUGGUUCUGUCCCUGGGGUUCUGGGGCCAGCUGGAGGGGUUUUAAACUCCACUGUCACCCAGUGACCCCUCCCGUGGUCUGAAGCGGCGGCGGCACAGCAAUCCCAGGCUGAGCCAUGAGGAGUAUGGACGCUGCGAGAAUCCUCAGAAGAGAUUCCUCUCCUCCUACCCACGAACAGCAUCUACUGAUGGAGAUUGAGGACAGAAGAUGAGUGGAAUUAUGGACCUCAGGGGAAGACAUGGUUUAGAUUUUUUUUUUCUUUUUAACUUUUCCCAUUCCGACUCUUCCUGCCAGCAACGACAAACGAAGUGAUUCCUGGGGCUUCUUCGUUCAUGCUCUUUGCCAGGACUGACUACCGACAUGAAGCUAUCAGCCUCUUUUGCCCCAGCUCUUUGCCUCUCUGUAUUUCUGUGUGGAGCUGAGGAGAGAGUGAGACUGGAUGGGGUGGGGGUAGCAAUACUUGAGCCAAGGUGGCUGUUUCCUGCUGACUGCUUUCUGAGAACCAGCUGGCCGUCCUGCCUCCGGGCCAGGGACUAUUCAAACUACAGGAGCCAGAGGCAGCUAAGAUAGCUGGACUGACCGAAGUCUGCAGAACCUCCCCCACCAGGUGGUCUGGGCUUUCUUCUCCACAAAUCAGGAAGGGGUGGUGGGUUCAGGGGCUGCGGUGAGAGGGGGUUGGUUAGCCAACGCCAGGCCCCUGCGACAAGGGCUUGUUUAGAAAGCCUGUCACCAGAGCUGCUGUAGGCGGAAUGUAUGUCUGUGUUGUAAAUGCCAGAGCCAACCUGGACUUCCUGUCCCUUCCCUCGUCUUUGGCUGAAGAAGACCGGAAUUGUUUGCUGCUGUUCGAGUCACUGAUCUGUGUAACGAGCCAAACAAGCCUUUUAAAAAGCCUUCUUGAUCCAUGGGUAGAGAAGUUGUAUGGUGAAGGGAAGUCGGGAGGGGGGGAAGGGGAUCCGAACACAGUUGACUUUUAUUUUGUAAAAAGACAAAGAUAAACGAACUUUAACAGAUUUCAGAUCCUGG